CGACCCUCAAGCCUAGCUUGGUGUUGGGUGAGGUCCCCUUUUAUUGGGACCCCUCCAUAACCCGUAGGCGGUCAUUGUCCGUACUCCCCCUAGCGUAGCAGGCUCACGCACUCGCUCGGGGAUGGGGCAAGACCAUGCCUUUACAAAAUAAACCCUUUUAAAAG
rnacentral:misc_RNA from 1 species